CCUGAAGCUGCGGUUAACCGCAGCUUAAUUGACGAAUCUUGGGUGGCCGCAAUUCGUAUCACGAACACGAGGUCGCGGCCAUUUUAAACAUGCGAAUGCACACCGCUGAAGCCGCCGACCUCCCUUCUUGUUCGGGGAAAGUGCACGAACGGCCCGGUGUUCGGUAGUUUUGUUUGAGUGUGUUGUGCCCCAGAUAGGAAUCCCAUGGCGAUUAAACUGUAUUCGUGUGGUCUG